CCGGGGCACAGUAUUAGAUAGAAAAUAAACGUGUAAUGAACACUUAACCGGGCUAACUGCAAAAAUUAGAACUCAUUGUAGCAUAAUCAACAAACUAGCCAGUUCAUCACGGGGUUCUGUUGCAAGCACGCUAUGUACAAGUGCACUCUCCGUAAUUUUGUCAACAGCGCAUUAUUGUCCUUAGUCUCGCCUUAUACUCUACAGCAUUGAUUCCCAAUCUGCGGGGGCUGAAUGCAUUACCGGGGAGGCUCA